CUACCUUAAGGAAAGCCAAGAAGGCAGACAUCGAGGGCACACGCACAACCUUGUGAGAAGCCUCCUGGGAGGCUGCCCCGCUACCUCUGUUAACGCUGUGAACACGUCACAAAGCCUUCUGACUCCAGAAUCGGGGUGAAGAAGGAAAGAUCUUCUGACACCUUCUGCCUCCGUGGUCCUCUCCCUCCCCCCUCCCCCUCCAGACCUUGGACCCAGCCUGCUUGCUCCUACCCAACACUUGCAGUGCCCCCAGCCGGCAGUGCCCUUCCCUGGCUUCUGGGCCGGGCCUCCGCUCAAGAUUUGCCUCCUCCGGGAGCAAGCGCUACAUCACAGCUCAGUGUACAACCUCUCUGCUGUUUUCUUGUUCACUUACACCCCCAACAUCAGAUGCCUCCUCAGACUCCAUCUCAAGGUCCUCCCCAACUCCACGCCCCCUGCCUCCCUGCUCCCCACUGGAGACAGCAUCAGGCACCAGAAAAGAAGCAGUCUUAGAGAAUAUAUAUGUACAUCCUGACAUGGGGAGAGAGAUGGGGCCAAGAAGCAGAACAUGUCCCGAAAGCAGACACCUAUGUCAUGCCUCUCCCACCUGAAAGAUCCCGUCCCUGUCCAUGCCUGAGCGCCGGUGUUCAACUCACCUGCAUCGCCAGCACCUGGGAGUGAAUCAGAAGAGCAAAGUCCUCACUGAGAAAGAGCAGCCUGACCUACACCUGGGCAGGGAGGCCCCUAGACACUGGGAGACAAAGCUGAUCAUGAAACACUCUUUUGCUGUGACAAAGUGCACCCUCUGCUCUGAUCAGUGGACGUACAACCCCUUGGCCCACCGGCGUAAUAGGGUUCCUGGGUUUUCUCCGGCUGGAGAAGAGUCAGCAUGGGGGUGACAGAGAAGGCACAGGGCUGAGCAGCCCCAAAGCCUCGGUUCUGGUCCAGGCUCUGUUUCUGUGCGGGUCCCUUCUCCCCCCUGGGCCUCAGUUUGCCAAUCUGUAAAGUAGGGGGCCAGAGCAACUGACAAUAAAACACCUACAAUCUCUGA